AAGGCGAGGCAGAGAUGCGUAGCUGAUGGGAAACAGGUCAAUAUUCCUGUACCGAUCAAUAGUGCGAUGUGGGGACGGAGAAGGUUAGCUCAGCCAACUGUUGGAUAUGUUGGUUCAAGCCUGUAGUCGUGCCUGGUAGGCAAAUCCGCCGGGCUUAGAUGAGGGGUGAUAACGAGGCUGCUUGCAGCCGAAGUGAGUGAUACCCUGCUUCCAGGAAAAGCCACUAAGCUUCAGCUAUUGACGACCGUACCG
rnacentral:rRNA from 13 species